UACGAAGGGGGCUAGCGUUGCUCGGAAUCACUGGGCUUAAAGCGUGUGUAGGCGGACGCCUAAGUACCUUGUGAAAUCCCACGGCUCACCCGUGGAACCGCUGGGUAUACUGGGCGUCUUGGGCCAUUCAGGGGCAACUGGAACAAGCGGUGGAGCGGUGAAAUGCGUAGAUAUCGCUUGGAACGCCGACGGUGAAAACAGGUUGCUGGGAAUGUGCCGACGCUGAGACACGAAAGCCAGGGGAGCAAACGGG
rnacentral:rRNA from 1 species